rnacentral:rRNA from 1 species
AUUGAACGCUGGCGGCAGGCCUAACACAUGCAAGUCGAGCGGAGCGGCGGACGGGCGAGUAAUUCAUUGGUAUCUGCCUGGUUGUGGGGGCUAACGUACUGAAACGUGCGCUAAUCUCGCAUUCUAUCAGAUGAGCGUAGGUCGGAUUAGGUAGUUGGUGGGGUAAAGGCCUACCAAGGCGACGAUCCGUAACUGGUCUGAGAGGAUGAGCAGUCACACUGGAACUGAGACACGGUCCAGACUCCUACGUGAGGCAGCAGUGGGGAAUAUUGGACAAUGGGCGAAAGCCUGAUGCAGCCAUGCCGCGUGUGUGAAGAAGGUCUUCGGAGUGUAAAGCACUUUAAGUUGGGAGGCGUUACCAACAGAAUAAGCACCGGCUAACUCCGUGCCAGCAGCCGCGGUAAUUC